rnacentral:lncRNA from 1 species
CCAGAGCCUAUACCAGAUCCUGCACACGAUAUAUCAAUAACAUCACAUUACCUUAAUAAGGAAUUAAAACAACAAAAUUAAUCUCGGAAAUCAAUCAUGGAUCAGAUCAGAAUCACCUUAAUUAGGAAUGAAAAAUGUAAUCAAUUAGGAAACAAUUCAUGCAUCCGAUCCUAAUCACCUUAAUUAGUAAAUAAAAUAUCAAAAUUAAUUUAGGAAACAAAUCACGCAUCGAAUCGCUUACCAGUGACAUCAGAUAGUUCUUUGGCUUUGUCUCACCACCGCCGUCCACACCGGCCAUCGAUGACAACGCAGGUUAAGGGCAUGUUUGGAACUACCCCGCUCCUUGAAAUUCAGCUCGGUUCUAGAAAACGCAAGCCAAAUGGGAUAGUUCCACGACAAUGCCGAUAAAAAAACCUAAAUCUGGGGUACAACUCUCUUUUUUAAGCUCUCUAGGAGACGCUUAAAAAACGGUAGAAGCCGGAGUUGGAAGGAAAUUACCAACCACUGCCAUCAUUAAGUGAAUAUCCCUUCAUUUCUCCCCAUUCAUCCAAUCAAAUAGAUCUUUUCCAUCAAAUUUUUCAUUCUUGAAGCUGGAGCUAGAUGAAAGCCAAACAUUCUCUUUGGAAGAGUUGGAACUUUUGUAUGAAACUGCUCCAAAAUAAAUUUGGUGGAGCGGAACAGAUUUUGAUGGACCAGAGCAGUCCCAAACAUGCCCCAUUUUUCCUUUUUUUUCGAUAAAGGGUGUUUUAUAUUGACUCAUAGAGUAGUAUCGAGAGAUACAAUCAUAAUGAGUACACACCCGAACUACAUAAUUAGGUUGCACACACACACACACACACACACACACACACACACACACACACACACACAAACAUACGAAUGACCACCACGGCAAAGUGCAAAGUCAUAGAAAGACCAAAGCUAUGCCUAGGCGAAGGAAGAAAAAAUGAAGCAAUCAAAACAACGAUUGACGAUAUACACCGGUGACCAUUGAUGCCAACCAUCUCUUGAUCACAAGGAGUGCGAGAAGGGUUCUCCAAAAGCCACGCCUCCAAGAAGGAAACAAUGCACAAGCGCUGCAGUCGCCAGAUCCAAUCGCGCAGAUGAUGGAUUUUCACCCUGGAGAUCAGAUCUGGGAAAACUCCGAGCAAUGCCGUCAUCAGGCUAAUGACGCAAAGAACGCCGCCAUUGCCAGGUCUAAUCAACUAGGUCACACCAGAGAUUUCACCCUGAAGCUCAAGAUCGAGUACUCUGAGAAGUACCACCCAAUUGAAGUCACUUUAUGUUGUCUCCCCCACUUGCCUCGAUCCAAUUGUUCUGGCUCCUAUACCCAUACCGCGAUCGACCGAUUAAUUUGAAUGGUGUCCAUACAUACAUACUUCUUUUUGAAAAGGGGGGUGCUCUCGGCCUAUGCAUCUCAGUGAUGCAUGCAGCCAUAUUAUUAAAAGAAGUCCCCAAUAAGUACGUAGUGUUGUACAAAGUCUCGAAAAGAAAUAAAAAGAUACACAAGGCCACAACCAGCAUAAAUAAGACAGAACAUUACAUACGUACAUACUCUACCCUUUUACCCCUCCACCUAUCCAACUGGUCUUGUGGCUCCCAUAGUCGAUUAUUUUCAACAGUGUUUCACAGGCAGCCACUUUGCAUUUCAGUUUUGUAUGUAUAUCCAUACCACAUGUAUAUCUAUCUUCUCUUGCUCACAUGAGUGUUUGCAAUGAUAUCCAGCAGGAGCCGUAGCCGGACACAACCUAGCUGGAGAAUGCCUUCCCAAUAUAAUUGUUGAAUAUAUUGUGCAUGUAUAUUGUGUCGUAGGCCCACCUCCUAAUUAUCUUGUAUAUUUGAGAUUGUGGCCCCAGUCUUAUACACCAUAUAUGCGUGCCUAGUGCACUCGAUCAAUGCAUUGAGAGUUGCACGACCCAAACCUCAUCUUCUACAUGGUAUCUAUCGCAGGCCGAUUCUGACCUAGCCUUAGCCGCUGCCGCACCUCCCUUGCGCUGCCGCUGCUGCCGCUACCCGGCGUCGCCACCCACCGCCACCGCCGCCGCCACCCACCUCCGUCGCUACCCGGCGUCGCCACCCACCGCCGCCGCCGCCGCCACCCACCGCCGCUGCCGCAGCUUCUUCCUAGCUGCUGCCGCCGCCCCGUGACGCUACCUGCUCCCUCUCGCUUCCGCCAACCGCCGCUGCGAGUUCUAUGGGUGACAGCAGCUUGAGUCGUCCAUUGACGACUUUUGCAUGCGCCCUCAAGAAGCUUGCCAACGAGCUCCGCGAUCAUUUCCUAUGAGCACAUGACUGCAGGCCCUUUUUCUAUUUUCGUAUUCACUGAAAUCGGUCUCGCCGAACUAUAUCACUGAAAUCGUACCACUGAAUUCAUAUUUUCGUAUGAAUUCAGUGAUAUAAUGUUUGCUCCCUCCGCAGUUGGUCUCGUUGGUUAAAUUUACGGUUAAAUUUGGAUCUCGGGAAGCGCGGGGGCACUACACUGUGAAAUGGAGGGAGUAUUAUACGUCACUAUUCACACUAUUUUGACCGAUUUUUUUUCUUUUUUGAAAAGAAGUCAACGAGAUUUUUUCUUUCCGUGAUUUUUUUUACCAAUACAAUGGUAGGUCAAGUUUAUUUCAAUAAUAUAUUCAGAAUUUAUUGACUUCUUAUUUAAUUACUAAUGUUCUUUACCAUAUAGGAUGUACACUAAACCCAUAGACCAAAAAUUCCCCUCCCACCACGUGGGGUGCGUCGUGUGUGACCGUCGACUAUAUAAGCUCCACUAGACACUAGACAGAUCAGGACCAGCUCGUGGUACUCAUUUGUUGCCAAGCAAACAGCCGCACUUCACUCACUGCUUCGCCACUGACCGACCGUCCACCACCAUGCGAACUCCAGCGAGCCUUGUCCACUCUAGCUAGCUCUAGCACCGCCGCCGCUGCCCCCAACCCAGCUGCCUCCUCAUCUUCGUCGGCGCCGGCGGCCAUGAUCUCCAUCGACCCCAACAUGGUCGUCAUCCUGGCCGCCCUCCUCUGCGCGCUCGUCUGCCUCGCCGGCCUCGCCCUCGUCGCGCGCUGCACCUGCCGUCAUGCCCGCCGCUCUUCACCGUUCGCCGGCAAUAGCAUCACCAUGACCUUGCCUCUUCCUCCCCGAGGCCUGAAGAAGAAGGCCAUCGACGCGCUCCCCGUCACAGCAGUGAAAGAAGGGCAUCAGCUGGAGGAGCAGUGCGCCAUCUGCCUGGCCGACCUGGCCGCCGGGGAGGAGCUCCGGGUGCUGCCGCGGUGCGGCCACUCCUUCCACGUCGCCUGCGUCGACGCCUGGCUCCGUGCUCACGCCACCUGCCCCUCCUGCCGCGCCACCAUCGUCGACUCGUCAACCUCCUCGUCCUCACCGCCAUCACCGCCGCUCCCGGCCCCGGGCCGGUGCCGGAGGUGCGGAGCGGCCUGUGACGGCGACAGCGUGGCCACUUCUGCUUCUGCUGAUACGGACGGGAGCAGCUUCUUGCCGUAGCUGUCACUAGACAACAUCGAUCCUAGUAGUUGGAAACUUGCAAUGGUUGUUAGUGAAAGAAAGAAAAUUAGUGUGCUUCAGUGGUAAGAGUUAUCAUGAUACUAGAAUUGUACGUAUGUAUUCAUCGUAAGCUGAUUUCUUAUAAAAUAGUUUAAAUAUAUUCUCCCAGUUCGAUCUGGCCAAAUCUGUCUCCAAUGGACUUACCUACUUAAGCAUGGUGCAUUAAGAUUGAAUAGUACAAUUCGUAUCGAGUUACCACUCAGACCAGUGUUACAUCGAUCGAUGAUGUUCCUUUUUUGAAGGCGUAGCCUAGGAGUUGUGUAUUUUUCGUUUAUGUCAUGUCUUGUAUCAUAGGGUUAGUGGCUAUCUGGAGGAGUUAUUGUCGUGAGGUAUACGGCCUCAGGAUUUGUUUUUCGCUUUUUUCCUGGUCGAUGAUUCGGCUGCUCGAUUUUGCACUAUUAAUAAGAUAUGGCUGCAUGCAUCGUCCUGAUGCAGAGGCCGGGGAUAUCCUCCUUUAAAAAAAAUCUACUACUCCCUCUGUUCGGAAAUAAGUGGCGUGUUCAAAUUUGAACUAAAACCACGCCAGUUAUUUCCAAACGAUUAUGCUGGUAAUAUAAGUAAUCAUGCACUUUCUCCGGUCAAAAAAUGAACAUCUUCAGCUUUAGUUUUCAAUGGAGAGAUGAGACACAUAUAAUUUGAUGGAAUGUAUGAUUCGCGCUAACUAAGCUAGUGGCUAGUUCACCGGGACCAGGAGAAGUAAGGAGAUUCUCUUUUGCUGCUGGCCGGUGCUUUACAUUUGCUGAAUCAAUUUGUAGGCCAAGCCUAGCCUGGCUAUUGGCUGGGUUUCAGUUGACCUCCGAAAGCAACAAAGAAAAAGAAACGGAGGAGACAGCAGUUCAGUUUUGAGCCGUUGCAGGUGCGACCCCAUUACAGCACACACAGUGCCACAACAUCUCCCAGCCCCUGGUUUAAUCCACCACUUGAGAAUAUUAAUCAUACACCGCAUCAAAUUGACAAAGGUGUAACUUUUGUUUUACAGCACAACCCAAUACAUAUGUAUAGUUAAUUGGAGAACAUAACCCCUGAAAAAACAAUUGGAGAGUGUACAUAUAGCUCAAAGUUUAUUAGUUUACAAGAAGUAUUUCGCGUGCUUUCUCCGCGGCGGCUCCCCCGACCGCUAGCGCACAUAGUGGGCAAUAGCUCGUUAAUCGUCCACCGUUGCCCUCCAUGGUCUAGGGCCAUUUUGGGUGAUUGGAUGUAUAAUUUUCUUUUUUAUUAUUAUUUAUUCAAUCUAAUUUUCUAUUUUUCUUCUUUAUCUUUUUUGCUUCACUUUUUCUUUUUUCAUCUAUCCUUUUCCAUCUAUUUUUUCUUCUUUUCUAUUUUUUAAUAUAAAUAUUUUAACAAAGACAUGAACAUUUUCUAAUGUGUGAACUGUUUUGAAAAUUACAUGAAAAUUCAGCUGAAAACAAAUACCAAAUAUUUUUGAAGGUUAAAUAUUUUUUGAAGUAACAUGAACAUUUUAGAAUAUUAAAUGAUUUUUCCUGAAAAUGGUAAUCACAUAAAAAUUUACAAAAUACGUCGACACUUAAAACAACUUUCACACUUUUCUAUCUUAUUAGCUGAUUAUAUAAGUACAAAUAUUAAUUCAUUUGGAGAUAAAAUAAUAAGGGAAAAACAUAAAAAAUUAUGGGGAGCAACAAGUCCGCCCAUUAGCAUCGGUUGUACGCAGUCCUUUCGGUCACCAGGUUUGAUAUCAGUUUGGAGGGCUCCUAUUGCGGUUAUUAUAGCAUUCGAUUAUUUAAAAUUUUAACAAUUUAGUUUACCGAAAAGCAUGUACAAAAGUAUCAAUCCUGUUUUUAAAGUUCCAUUUUUUAAAACGUGUACACAUUUCUCGAAAGAACGAACAUUUUUAAAAACAAUUUUUUAAUAAUUGAUUUUAUUGAAAAAGCAAUCUCUUUUUACAAUUUGUACAUAUUUUCAAAAUUUAAUACUUCCUCUGAUUCAUAUUCAUUGUCGCUGAUUUAGUACAAAUUUUUGAACAUUUCGACAACUUUUUACUAAAUCAGAAAUAAUUAAUAUAGAUUGGAGGGAGUUAGAAUUUUAUUUAAAAAGGGAUAUUUUUCAAAUUUGUGAACAUUUUCGGAAACGUGAUUGUGUUUUUUAAUAUGUGAGAAUAAAUUGAUGAUGGGAUUUUUUUUAAAAUGUAUUUAUUUUUGAAUACCUAAAUUUUAUUUGAAACAAGAACAGUUUUUGAAGUUGUGAAUAAAUUUUGAAAUGGGAAUGUUUUUUGAAAUUUCGAAAAAUAUUUGGAAAUAGAAACAGUUUUCAAAAUUAUUAUUUUGGUAUUUCUAAAAAUAUUAAAAUUUAUGAACAUUUUCUAGAAUGGAAAUAUUUUUAAAGGAAAAAUGAGACGGAAGAAAACCAAUUAAAGAAACAACAUGAAACAAAAAAAAUAGGACCUAAACUGGUCAGGAACAUAGAAGGUUCCCAAAACCGGAAAGAUGGUCCUAUUCUCCAAGCAUUAAUGGGUCGGCCCAGCUCUGUAGUUCCUACACGUCAUGCCGACUACUUUACGCAAUAUGACUAUAUGAGUCAUAUAUUAUUUGCCAUCAGCAGUGUUUGUUCGUUUGUUUCUGGGUUGAGUAGUGUUCACUUUUAUGGCCUUGUUGUGGCGACUGAUAGCCAUAUGAAUUGGGACACAUGUGACUACACAAUGCAAAGUAGAUGGUCAACCACUCAGAACCGAGGACACGGCAAUGCAUCAUGCGUGAGCUCUCUGAGUAGCUCAUUUAUAUCGAGCUUAGAAAGAAGAAAGCAUCAAACUCCCGUGUGCAUUGACCAAAUCCCCCACCCCGCAUGGAUGACACGGUCAAAAUCAUGAGUAGAAUAAAAAAUUAGGCACCUCAAUUGAUUGUGAGAGCUCUAAAAUUGGGAAGCAUAUUAAAUUUAAAAUACACAUUCGUUCCCUUUUGUUAGAAAUCUGAAACCAGAUGGGCUAAACUCUAUUUUGUACUAUCAAUUGGUGAGAUGUUUACCCUUGGCCAGGUCACUCCCACUCAGGGUUCAAAUGUUCAACGAAAUUUCAGUAAUAGAGGUGGUAUCAAAAUUUUUGUGACCUUGAAAGUACAGGCAAGACUAAAACUUAGUUCAAGCCAACUUUAAGUUAUGCUAAAUUUCCUUGAAAAUCCAAAUCAAUUUGAAAUUUUGGAUAUUUUGACGAGGUCCUGGCUUUUCAUGUUACCGAAAUUGUCAAUCUUGCCCCCACAUGCAAAUUAACCCAUACUUGGGCCAUCUUAAUUACGUUCACCAUUCAAUUUAAAGUCUUUCUUCUCUACAUAAAGGUCUUCUGGAGAUCCAUGACANNNNNNNNNNNNNNNNNNNNNNNNNNNNNNNNNNNNNNNNNNNNNNNNNNNNNNNNNNNNNNNNNNNNNNNNNNNNNNNNNNNNNNNNNNNNNNNNNNNNNNNNNNNNNNNNNNNNNNNNNNNNNNNNNNNNNNNNNNNNNNNNNNNNNNNNNNNNNNNNNNNNNNNNNNNNNNNNNNNNNNNNNNNNNNNAAAUAAACACAUUUUUGGAGUUUCAGUUUUGAUUAUCAACGUACUCCCAUAUUGUGAUUAAUUCAUGCAAUCUACGUACAGACUAACAUUACAAGAAGGCGAAGAAAUAACCUAAGUAUGUGUUGUUCAGUCGGACACACAUCUUAUGAUAGGGAGGUGGCAGAUCUGAACGGUACUGGCCAUUGGAUCAACAUCUUAGUGCCACAUUUCAUCUUAACAAAAAAACUCCAAGCAUCAUGAAUGAAAUUUCAACGCUAUUUCAGCAUAUGUAGAGCGUGCAUUUUUUGUUUUGUAGAUGUCAAACUUACACAUAAUAGUACUCUUUCAGACAAGAAUGAAAGAUUAUGACUUUUGUGUCUUGAGCAAACUUUCAGAAAAAAUUCUUGUACAGAACAAUAUACACAUAGCAAACUUUUGUUUUGGUCGAUAAUUUUUUUUCUCAAACGACAUAGAGUUCAAUUUAUUUUAUACAUGUCAACUUUUUUGUCUACCAAUCUUGAAAAAUGUUUUCAAAAGUUUCACUUUCAAACGUAUACGAAACAACUUCAUAGAAAGUGCAUUAACUUUGUGACCACAUAUUGAGAAAUGUUUCCAGAAGUUCCACGUGACAAUUUUUUAGCGCACAUUUGUUUCGUUCGAUUAAUAUUUUGUUCAAAGUACACACAAGAUAUCCAUAGAGAGUCCAUUUUAUUUUAUUUUGAAAACAUAUCCUUUUGUAAAAGCAUAAUGAAGCAUAAAUGUGUACAACUAAUCGUCCAUAAACAACUAAUGUUUGACAAUAUUUACUGAACAUGUUCAAUACCCUGUAGUUUUUGCUAUUUUCCAACGAACAAACAAUAUGACAACUUUUGUAAUAUCAAUCACACUUGACUGCUCUUGUCUAAUCUCAUUUUGUAAAAAAAGAAACAGUUUAAUUGAUCAGGCGUCUUAUUUUUAGUAACCCUCAUGUAAAGGCAACAUUUGUUUGACCCAUUUACCAAAUGCACGCGUUGAGUACAAUUUGUUUUACAACCGAAUUGUUGGUUUUUUUUAAUUCAACACUAUAGCAUAUGUUGGCACGCAAGUCUAAAACCCAGAAAGUAAUUUCGAUGAAAGCUUCCUAGAAACGUAGGGAUUCGGGAUAUGGACUCGGAUGCUCCCCGCAACCCCCUGGUGAACAGUUAAAUCGGUAAAAAGAAUUAGCACAAACAAAUAUGAAACUUUUUGGCAUCCAAGAUGCUCGGGUGCGCAAUGUGCAUGCAAUUUUUGGUGAUUUUUGGAGAUUUGAGGGGGCCAUGGAAACAUAACAAAAUUCGGGCCUUGGAUGCUAGUCCUAAUGCUACCAUUAAUUGCAAAACGUGGGCCUCGCCUAUCUGCCACGUUGGUCACGCGUGCAUGUGACUUGCAAAAAAGGGUGGCGGCGAUCGCGUGAGCUUGGAUCUAGUUCCAUGCGAUGAUCACAGGCUUUUGUGCGGUGGUAGUCCCUCUUGAUCACCCAAAACAUCUUCAGUGAUCAAAAGCGUGAUAGAAGCUCGGACUGGAAACCCAUCUUUAUUCUGGCGCUCGACAUGGUAAACAUAACAACAUGAGAGAACGAGCCCUUCUUGUACAAGCUUAGCAGUUGCCGAAGCAUGAUCGCGCAGACCGACUACACCAUCGAGCGUGCGGUGAUGAUGGAGUACUUGGCGAUCUUCAUUCCACACUCAUGCACCAUCAAGAGGGGUUUGAAAAGGGAAUUGACUGGUGAACAGACAGAACAUUAUGUAGUUGCACUCCUUCUAGCCGACGGAAUUACUGCCAUUAAUUGCAAAAGAUGGCCUCCCAUAUCUUCGACUUUGGUCAUGACGACCCUUGGAAGGAUGCAUGUCACGAGCAACAAAAAUAAGGGGGGUGUCGUUCGUGUGAGCUUGGAUCCAUUCAAUUCCAGAUCGCAUCUCAACACAAAAAGGAAGGAAGGACAUCGACACACAGACACGGGAGUCUUGCCGGAGUGGGCGGUGAAGGCGCUCAACUUGGCCGUGAGGCCAUGGAUGAUGUUUCCAUGUGGGAUGACGUUGUUGAGGCGACGCAGGUGCUCCUCUGUCUCCGCCACCUCCUCGGACGUGAAACGGAACGUGGUCCUCUUGUUGCUCAGGCGUUGCUGUUGUGCAUACCGCACGCGAUGAUAUAAGAAUAUUUGACUGAUAGAUCGCUAGAGGAUGACACUGACUGGAGAUGGAGAGUAUGGGAGGGACGUACGUUACCAGUUCAGAGUCUCGAUCGUUCUUCAUGUGAUAUGUUCACUCUAUCUAUCUCUCUCAUGUUGUAUUCCUUUUGUUGCUGACACACGCUUCCGGACCAGCGUCGAACACGGUAGAAUCAUAGGCCCACUUUUUGAAAUUAAUGGUAGAACACAAGAUCGCUUUAAUUUAAUAUUUCCAAAUUUAUGUGCUAGGAAUACAUACUCAUGACCAGCAUAUAUACUACUUUAGUAUUACCAUUAAAGUAGUAUAUAUGGUGGUAAUGAAUAUGUAUUCCUAGCACAUAAAUUUGGAAAUCUUUAAUUAAAGUGAUCCAGCCACCUACCAUUGGUUUCAAAAAAAAUGGGCCUACUAUCGCACUGUGUUCCACGCUGGUCCAGAACUGUGUGAUAGGAACAAAAGGAAUACAACAGGAGUGAGACCGAUAGAGUGGAUAGACCACGUGGAGGCCGAUCGAGAGUCUGAACAGGUAACAUACGUCCCUCCCAUCCCUCUCCAUCUCUAGUCAGUGUCAUCCUCUGGCGGUCUAUCGAUCAAAUCUUCUAUCUUUACCGCGGGUAGUAGGCACAACAACAGUGCCGGAGGAUGGAGUAACCGCCGAGCAGCAGGAGGCCCAUGUUCUGGUUAACGCUCGCUGAGGUGGAGAUGGAGGAGCACCUGCGUCACCUCAACAACGUCAUCAAACACCACAACAUCAUCCAGGACAUCGCGGCCAAGUUCAGGGCCUCCACUGCUCACUCCGGCAAGACCCCCAUCGAGUACAAACCCGAACGAAGGUAGUAUGUAUUAUUCCUCGCCGGCAUUGGUAAGUUCUCUUUUCAAACCCUUUAUAUGUUCCUUCUCCAUUUACUCAUGCCAGCCAGCUCCUCGCAGGGCCGCGCAAGACCAUCCUUUCGAUUUGUUCUACAUUUUUAGAUCUUUAAUAUUCACAAUUCCUUUUGGGUUCCGAUGGCAUUAUUCAGUUUUGGGAUCAGCUUCUAUUUGGUUGCAAUCCAUUCACAAUAAAAUGGUUAGGUUUUAUUGGGAAUCGUUUUUUACCUUUUCUUCGCACUCGUUUUGGGCGUGGUCAACACUCACUGUUGAUCCGGCAGCUCCAAAGAUCACAUCGAGCAUUUUGAAAUUUUCAUCUCAUUUCAUAUUAGGAAUCAAUUCAUCCUUACUAUUAUCUCACACAAUCUAUGGAGAGACCCCAUGCCGAUAUUCGGGCAGUGGUGGUGGUUCUGCCUUAGGAUCUUGACACGGUGUGUUCUCUAGCGCUGCUGGGAUAAGAGGUGGAGGACCUCGUGUUGGGGAACAUAUUACAAAAUAGAACUUUAUCUCACACCUACAAGCAAGCAAGGUAAGAGGCUGGGAGAUGGGGUUACUGACCUCGGGUCGGAAGCCAGCCGGUUUGUCGAGGCGCCCCACCAGAGCCGACAGGAAUGGGCUGUGAGCAUGGGAUCCCAUCGAACUUGAUGAAGAUGCGAGACAGUGACCGCUGGAAAUGAUGCUUGGCGAUGGGGGCUCGCAGAUCUAGCGAUGGGGCGUAGCAAGCGAGGCAGGGAUGUGCAGGUGCGACAGAUCUGAAGGGGGCGGUCCUCGGCAAGCGUCGGCAUCAGAUCCAGGGUAGGGAUCUAUUGGACGACGAUGUCCACCGUAAAAUCGAGAAGAAAUGGUAGUUAAACGAAGAGAAGUAAAUUCAUGGAAGGAAAAGGAUGGGAAGAGGAGGACGGGGCAUUGAGGCUUACCGGCAAGGUGCAUGGCGAAGGUGGGGCAGCAGUCUUCGACAGAAUCCAUGACUCAGUGGUGAGGAAGGAACGGGAGGAGCUCCGAGAGGAACAUGAGGCUGAAGGUCCGUCGGGUCUAGAUCUAGGCUCGGGGGCCGUAUGGAAGACGGAGCAUGGAGGCCUCACGUUCGUUCAACCAGACAUGGGUCGAGCAGAUCUGGCGUGCGGCGGCUGCCGCUAGCUGCGUGGGGGAAGUAACGUAGGUGGAGUGGUGUGGCGGCGGCUUGGUAGCUCGGUGGAGGACAAGGGGCGGCGGCGGGAUGGUUGGCUGUGGAAAAAGAGGG